ACUCUAACUACAAGGGCAUCAGAUAAAAUUGGAAUGAUACAGAGAAGAUUAACAUUGUCCCUGUGUAAGGAUGACACGCACAAAUCGAGAAGCAAGUCUAGAGUAU